rnacentral:rRNA from 1 species
UACGUAGGCAGCAAGCGUUGUUCGGAAUUAUUGGGCGUAAAGGGCUCGUAGGCGGUUUGUCGCGUCGGGAGUGAAAACACUGGGCUUAACCGAGUGCUUGCUUUCGAUACGGGCAGACUUGAGGCAUUGAGGGGAGAACGGAAUUCCUGGUGUAGCGGUGAAAUGCGCAGAUAUCAGGAGGAACACCGGUGGCGAAGGCGGCAUCCUGGACCAUUACUGACGCUGAGGCGCGAAAGCUAGGGGAGCAAACGGG